UAUAUUUGUAAAAUUUGUCUACUUACUAGCAUGACUUCUUCAUCCGUUUCAGUCCCCGUUGCAAACACAGUGCCAUCAUCAGAGCUGGUGGGAGCGGCAAAGUCUGGUGCUUGGCCACAGCUGCAGUUAAAAGCUUCCUCGAGUUUCUAAGUGCCUGGGAUGCUAGACGCAUCAUGUUCACUUGGCACACAUUCUGACUGUAUUGGGAUACCGAAAUUCUCGUAAAGUCUUGCUGCCGUUUUGAUUCCAGUAGCUGUAGAUGUAGAUGCAAGGGAAUCGUUCCCUUUAGCUUUAUCUGCUUUUUGGCUUCCACUUGACCUGGAUUUGUGACUGAUAAAAUGCGAAGAAUGCCUCCGUUUGACAUGAUAGUAAAAUGAGUUGUACUCCUGACAGCAACCAUCAAUCCCACAGACCACAUUAAAAUCCGGGCUGGAACUAUGCACAGUGUUUUUGUGACUCAACAAAGCUCUUAAUGAAAAUGCCACAAACAGGCAGCAAAUAACACAACGCAAAAUCAUUUACAUGGAAAAAGCGAAUCAGUCUUACUAUUUUUACCCCAUUGUCUGUAUGUGUCUGUCCCACUGAAAGCAAUCAGAAGAAAGGAAGUGAUUAAAACUUUUAGUCCAAUCAAGGUGGCGGAAUAUUCCAUCGUACUUAAAGUAUGGAGGUGAAAUCAUAAAGCAUUAUUCCUUUUGAAUUUAUUUUAAGUUGUAGAACACUUACGGAAAGUAGUACUAAGAGGAAAUUGUGGCGGAGUGACUGUGAUGGGGCGGAACCAAAAAUGAGGAAGAUUAGUUCCGCCCGGACCAUAUAUCGCAAACACCGCCACUUCCGGGAAAGCCGGCGAACACAAAUCGGCGUGCUAUUGGGAACGGGUGUCUUGUUGAGCGUGGCGAUCACUGAUUGGGCAAUUUGGUGAAGAGGAGACACAUAAAUAGGGCACACAGGAAGGGCCUGGUGAUUCCCAGUAGUUACUGUGGGCGCAACGGAGCGGAGGAGAGAGUUGGAGAGAGAGUGUAUGGUGUACUGCGGAGCUUGGGCAAAGAGAGAUACACAUACAGGGCUGAGUAUACGAAUAUCUUUAUUGGAGCAUUGUGUUCAGAUGCAUUGUGUGAUGUGAAGUUAACACACAUUGAAGAUCUGCUAGGAUUGCAGGAAGGAGAUCGUGCUGCCAGUUGUGUCGGAUGUCGGUUAUCUGGAAGAGAAGUGGAGAGAUCCAGUGUUAAUGAAAGUGAUUGGUGGGUGAGCCGGAACCAGCGAAAAAGGAGUCUGGUGCCUUGUCGUGGCUGUGACGUUCCCUCUGGCCGUCUGCUGCAUCGGUGCCCCCAACGUCCAGGAACUAAUCCCCGGUCCUAUGUGGUUUUGACCCUAAUUCACUGUGAGUGUGUGGAGUGUAGUGG
ensembl:lncRNA